rnacentral:rRNA from 1 species
UCGGGAAUUUUGGGCAAUGGGCGAAAGCCUGACCCAGCAACGCCGCGUGAGGGAUGAAGUAUUUCGGUAUGUAAACCUCGAAAGAAUGGGAAGAAUAAAUGACGGUACCAUUUAUAAGCUCCGGCUAACUACAUGCCAGCAGCCGCGGUAAUACGUAGGGAGCAAGCGUUGUUCGGAUUUACUGGGCGUAAAGGGCGCGUAGGCGGCGCGGUAAGUCACUUGUGAAAUCUCUGAGCUUAACUCAGAACGGCCAAGUGACACUGCUGUGCUAGAGUGCGGAAGAGGCAACCGGAAUUCUUGGUGUAGCGGUGAAAUGCGUAGAUAUCAAGAGGAACACCUGAGGCGAAGGCGGGUUGCUGGGCCGACACUGACGCUGAUGCGCGAAAGCCAGGGGAGCAAACG